rnacentral:rRNA from 1 species
UAAAAAUUUUUUAUGGUUUAAAAAAUUUAUUAUAAAUUUAUUUUUCAUAUAAAUUUUAGUGUUAAUAAAUUGUUAUUUAAAUAAUAAUAAUUUUUAAAGUAGUAAUUAAUUUUAAAAAUUUAAGAAAUUAAGAUUUAGUAAUAUGUAAAUUAAUAACAAAUUUUGUGCCAGCAGUUGCGGUUAUACAAAAAUUAAAAUAAAUUUUAUUAGUAGUUAAUAAAUAAAAUUUAUAAAUAAAUUAUAAAUAAAAAUUUAAAUUAUUAAGUGAAAUUUUAAUUUAAUAUAAAUUUAUAAUAAAUUAUGAUUUAAAAAAAUUAUAGUAUAAACUAGGAUUAGAUACCCUAUUAUUAAAAAAAUUAAAUUUUUAUGCUAAAAUAGUAUUUAAUUAUUUAUUGAAACUUAAAUAAUAUGGCGGUAUUUUAGUUUAUUUAGAGGAAUCUGUUUAUUAAUUGAUAAUCCACGAAUAAAUUUACUUAAUUUAUUAUUUUGUAUAUCGUUGUUAUAAAAAUAUUUUUUAAUAAUAAUAAUAUUUAAAAAUUUAAAUUUAAAAUUAAAUCAGAUCAAGAUGCAGAUUAUAAUUAAGAAUAUAAUGGAUUACAAUAAAUUUAUUAACACUAAAAUUUAUAUGAAAAAUAAAUUGAAAUUGGAUUUAAAUGUAAUUUUAUUUAUUUUAAUAAAAUGAUUUAAAAUUAAAAUAUGUACAUAUUGCCCGUCGCUUUCAUUAAUAAAUUGAAAUAAGUCGUAACAAAGUAGAGGUACUGGAAAGUGUUUCUAGAAAGAU